rnacentral:rRNA from 1 species
UACGUAGGGGGCUAGCGUUGUCCGGAAUCAUUGGGCGUAAAGAGCGCGUAGGCGGCCAGAUAAGUCCGGUGUGAAAGUCAAAGGCUCAACCUUUGAAUGCCGCUGGAAACUGUCUGGCUAGAGUCCGGAAGGGGCGAGUGGAAUUCCUGGUGUAGCGGUGAAAAUGCGCAGAUAUCAGGAGGAACACCAAUGGCGAAGGCAGCUCGCUGGAACGGUACUGACGCUGAGGCGCGAAAAGCGUGGGGGAGCGAACAGG